GACGAACGCUGGUGGCGUGCUUAACACAUGCAAGUCGAACGAUGAACCAGGGCUUGCCCUGGGGAUUAGUGGCGAACGGGUGAGUAACACGUGGGCAACCUGCCCCAGACACCGGGAUAACCUCUCGAAAGAGUGGCUAAUACCGGAUACGACCACUUUGGGCAUCCAACGGUGGUGGAAAGGAUUCUGGUCUGGGAUGGGCCCGCGGCCUAUCAGCUUGUUGGUGGGGUAAUGGCCUACCAAGGCGACGACGGGUAGCCGGCCUGAGAGGGCGACCGGCCACACUGGGACUGAGACACGGCCCAGACUCCUACGGGAGGCAGCAGUGGGGAAUAUUGCGCAAUGGGCGAAAGCCUGACGCAGCGACGCCGCGUGAGGGACGAAGGUCUUCGGAUUGUAAACCUCUUUCAGCAGGGACGAAGCGAAAGUGACUGUACCUGCAGAAGAAGCACCGGCUAACUACGUGCCAGCCGCCGCAGUAACAC
rnacentral:rRNA from 1 species